UAAAAUGUCUCCUUUACUUUCAGAGAGAACAGGAUAUGAGAAUGAAUGAAAUGGGUACCCGUGGAACCAUUAAUAUGGGAGAUUCAUUUAACCCUGUCGCUGCGGUUAGCGGUAACCCCUCACAAAUGGGCGUAGCAGGCCGAGUUGGAGCCAUGGGGCCUGAUGGAUCAUCAAAUAUGGGGACGCCCCUGAUACCAGAUAAUGGAGUGAUGCUUAAUGAUCGAUUUUCUGAAGGCGGACCUCUUCAAAUGGGUUCCCCUGUGAGUGGGCGCCCUGGUGUUGACUCACCUCAGCAACAGCAGCACUCACCCAUGGUGGCUGGGGCAGGUAGUGUUCCUGGUGUGGUUGGCCAAAGUGGAUUUGGGAGAGGAAGUCCAGUUGGGGGAAACUUUGAUGGGCCUAACAACAAACGACGUAGAUACUAAUAUUUAUUUUCUCUGGCGCUCAAUAUUUUUUUCCCUCCUUUGAGAGCCGCAAUUCAUUAGUAUACCAAGGGGAUGACCUAGUGAUACCGUCAACUUGACUGCACAGAUACUAAUGGAACUGGAUGAUGACAUCACUGAAUCAAUGAUGAACUGACUUUAACUGAAAAUAGAGUGUUUAUUAUUGUCCUUUUGAAUUAUUGACACUAUUUUCCUAUUUAAUACUGUAAAGCUGCUUUGACACAAUCUGUAUUAAAUCUGUAUUAUCAGUGUUAAAAGCGCUAUAUAAAUAAAGUUGACUUGACUUGACUUGAAAGAAACAACUUGUGUUCUCAAAGGUGCCACAACAUGAAGAAUAGAAGCAAGAGCAGAUUGUAACAAUCUGCAGAGUCAGUCCCAGGAAGCUUAGCAACAAAGCUAGAGAGCACCUGAGGAUCAAUGUUCUUGAUAUUCCUAAAAGUUAUAACACAUUCCUUAGAAGAUUUUAAAGAGGCAAAGAUGGUUUAUGAUCACUAAAGUAUAGUUAAUCAUUUCUAGUCUGAUGUAUAUCAAUACCCACAGAGCAGACCAAGUUCAAAUAUAGCUGCAAGCAGCAAUUGC